rnacentral:rRNA from 1 species
UUAUGGCUCAGGACGAACGCUGGCGGCGUGCUUAACACAUGCAAGUCGAACGAGGUUACUGGAGAGCUUGCUCGAAGGUAAACCGAGUGGCGGACGGGUGAGUAACGCGUGAACAAUCUGUCUCAUACAGGGGGAUAACGCAUCGAAAGAUGUGCUAAUACCGCGUAGGACCACGGUUUCGCAUGGAGCUGAGGUGAAAGGAGUAAUCCGGUAUGAGGUGAGUUCGCGUCUGAUUAGAUAGUUGGUGAGGUAACGGCCCACCAAGUCAACGAUCAGUAGCCGACCUGAGAGGGUGAUCGGCCACAUUGGGACUGAGACACGGCCCAGACUCCUACGGGAGGCAGCAGUGGGGAAUAUUGGGCAAUGGGCGAAAGCCCUGACCCAGCAACGCCGCGUGAAGGAAGAAGGUUUUCGGAUCGUAAACUUCUGUCCUAUAUGAAGAUCGUGACGGUAGUAUAGGAGGAAGCCCCGGCUAACUACGUGCCAGCCGCAGC